CAGGCAGGUGCAGAACAGAAUAAAAAGGCCCAUUUGAGGCUUUCAUCAGUGUCUUCACUUUGACUGAGGAGAGAGCAGUGUGAUCAGAUCUACGUUAUAGUGCAUGUUUUUUGUCUGAUGAGAAUGAAGCCUUGCAUGAUGAUGAUGUCAGAGGGUCUGUUCUUACUCCUGGUCAUACAAGCUCUUCUUCAUACUUCAGUUGGUCAAUCCACCACCCCUCCAUUCACCACCACCACCUCUAGACCAGCAACCACCACCACCCCUCCUACUACCACCACCCCUCCUUUCACCACCAC